rnacentral:rRNA from 1 species
AGCGAACGCUGGCGGCAGGCCUAACACAUGCAAGUCGAACGGAUCCUUCGGGAUUAGUGGCAGACGGGUGAGUAACACGUGGGAACGUACCCUUCGGUUCGGGAUAACUCAGGGAAACUUGAGCUAAUACCGGAUACGUCCGAGAGGAGAAAGAUUUAUCGCCGAGGGAUCGGCCCGCGUCUGAUUAGCUUGUUGGUGAGGUAACGGCUCACCAAGGCGACGAUCAGUAGCUGGCUGAGAGGAUGAUCAGCCACAUUGGGACUGAGACACGGCCCAAACUCCUACGGGAGGCAGCAGUGGGGAAUAUUGGACAAUGGGCGCGAGCCUGAUCCAGCCAUGCCGCGUGAGUGAUGAAGGCCCUAGGGUUGUAAAGCUCUUUUACCCGGGAAGAUAAUGACUGUACCGGGAGAAUAAGCCCCGGCUAACUUCGUGCCAGCCG